rnacentral:rRNA from 1 species
CGGCAACAGCUCAAAUUUGAAAUCUGGCUCCUUCGGGGCCCGAGUUGUAAUUUGCAGAGGAUGCUUCGGGUACGGGUUCCUUCCGAGCUCCCUGGAACGGGACGCCUUAGAGGGUGAGAGCCCCGUACGGUUGGACGCCUAGCCUCUGUAAAGCUCCUUCGAC